GUUUUCAUUAAUCAAGAACGAAAGUCAGAGGUUCGAAGGCGAUUAGAUACCGCCCUAGUUCUGACCGUAAAUGAUGCCAACUACCAAUUCGCUUGUGGAUUCGAGUUCAUAAGCGAGCGGGUUUCCGGAAACGAAAGUCUUUCGGUUCCGGGGGAAGUAUGGUUGCAAAGCUGAAACUUAAAGGAAUUGACGGAAGGGCACCACCAGGAGUGGAGCUUGCGGCUUAAUUUGACUCAACACGGGAAACCUCACCCGGCCAGCACAUCGUAAGGAUUGACAGACCGAUAGCUCUUUCAUGAUUCGGUGGAUGGUGGUGCAUGGCCGUUCUUAGUUCGUGCUAACGAAGUGUCUGCUUUAUUGCGAUAACGAGCGAGACGCCGACUGCUAACUAGUGCGUCGAUGGAUUCGUUUGUCGACGAUCGCUUCUUAGCGGGAUUCGUGGUUCUUAGCCGCAAGAAAUGGCGCAAUAACAGGUCUGUGAUGCCCUUAGAUGUUCGGGGCCGCACGCGUGCUACAAUGGUGGUAUCAGCGUGAUUGUCCUACGCCGAGAGGCGAUGGCAAACAGUUGAGAUAUUAUUAUGGCUGGAAUUGAGUGUUGAAAUUUUCACUCAUGAACGAGGAAUUCCAAGUAAAUGCGAGUCAUCAACUCGCAUUGAUUACGUCCCUGCCCUUUGUACACACCGCCCGUCGCUCCCGGGACUGAGUUGUUUC
rnacentral:rRNA from 1 species